CCUCAUCACCUGCUGUGUCCAUCGACCAUGCUGUUUACUUGUUUGAUUACUGCACUUCAGAGCUGGGUGGUUCUUUCGGUCCAGCCAUUAUUGGUCCUCUUCAUUAUGGAACUCUGAACCGAUUGGUUUGAUCUUAAUAACCAUGUUUUGGAAUACAUAUUUGGAUCUCAAAUCCUGGUUCCAAAGGAAGGCAGAAUAGAACUCACAGUUCGUCGAUCGUCAGAACCACACCUUGUUCCAAUACCAACCUGAUGCAUGCCGACUACUCCAUCCGGAAGACCACCAACAUACUCCAAUCGGAUCUCUCUCUCUCUCUCUCUCUCUCUCUCUCUCUC
rnacentral:lncRNA from 1 species